AGAGUUUGAUCCUGGCUCAGGACGAACGCUGGCGGCGUGCCUAAUACAUGCAAGUAGAACGCUGAAGGAGGAGCUUGCUUCUCUGGAUGAGUUGCGAACGGGUGAGUAACGCGUAGGUAACCUGCCUGGUAGCGGGGGAUAACUAUUGGAAACGAUAGCUAAUACCGCAUAAGAGUGGAUGUUGCAUGACAUUUGCUUAAAAGGUGCACUUGCAUCACUACCAGAUGGCCCUGCGUUGUAUUAGCUAGUUGGUGGGGUAACGGCUCACCAAGGCGACGAUACAUAGCCGACCUGAGAGGGUGAUCGGCCACACUGGGAUUGAGACACGGCCCAGACUCCUACGGGAGGCAGCAGUAGGGAAUCUUCGGCAAUGGACGGAAGUCUGACCGAGCAACGCCGCGUGAGUGAAGAAGGUUUUCGGAUCGUAAAGCUCUGUUGUAAGAGAAGAACGAGUGUGAGAGUGGAAAGUUCACACUGUGACGGUAUCUUACCAGAAAGGGACGGCUAACUACGUGCCAGCAGCCGCGGUAAUACGUAGGUCCCGAGCGUUGUCCGGAUUUAUUGGGCGUAAAGCGAGCGCAGGCGGUUAGAUAAGUCUGAAGUUAAAGGCUGUGGCUUAACCAUAGUAGGCUUUGGAAACUGUUUAACUUGAGUGCAAGAGGGGAGAGUGGAAUUCCAUGUGUAGCGGUGAAAUGCGUAGAUAUAUGGAGGAACACCGGGGGCGAAAGCGGCUCUCUGGCUUGUAACUGACGCUGAGGCUCGAAAGCGUGGGGAGCAAACAGGAUUAGAUACCCUGGUAGUCCACGCUGUAAACGAUGAGUGCUAGGUGUUAGACCCUUUCCGGGGUUUAGUGCCGUAGCUAACGCAUUAAGCACUCCGCCUGGGGAGUACGACCGCAAGGUUGAAACUCAAAGGAAUUGACGGGGGCCCGCACAAGCGGUGGAGCAUGUGGUUUAAUUCGAAGCAACGCGAAGAACCUUACCAGGUCUUGACAUCCCUCUGACCGCUCUAGAGAUAGAGCUUUCCUUCGGGACAGAGGUGACAGGUGGUGCAUGGUUGUCGUCAGCUCGUGUCGUGAGAUGUUGGGUUAAGUCCCGCAACGAGGGCAACCCCUAUUGUUAGUUGCCAUCAUUUAGUUGGGCACUCUAGCGAGACUGCCGGUAAUAAACCGGAGGAAGGUGGGGAUGACGUCAAAUCAUCAUGCCCCUUAUGACCUGGGCUACACACGUGCUACAAUGGCUGGUACAACGAGUCGCAAGCCGGUGACGGCAAGCUAAUCUCUUAAAGCCAGUCUCAGUUCGGAUUGUAGGCUGCAACUCGCCUACAUGAAGUCGGAAUCGCUAGUAAUCGCGGAUCAGCACGCCGCGGUGAAUACGUUCCCGGGCCUUGUACACACCGCCCGUCACACCACGAGAGUUUGUAACACCCGAAGUCGGCGAGGUAACCGUAAGGAGCCAGCCGCCUAAGGUGGGAUAGAUGAUUGGGGUGAAGUCGUAACAAGGUAGCCGUAUCGGAAGGUGCGGCUGGAUCACCU
rnacentral:rRNA from 1 species